UACCUACGGGGGGCAGCAGUGGGGAAUAUUGCACAAUGGGGGAAACCCUGAUGCAGCGACGCCGCGUGAGUGAGGAAGUAUUUCGGUACGUAAAGCUCUAUCAGCAGGGAAGAAAAAAAGUCCUUUGGACUUUGGACGGUACCUGACCAAGAAGCCCCGGCUAACUACGUGCCAGCAGCCGCGGUAAUACGUAGGGGGCAAGCGUUAUCCGGAUUUACUGGGUGUAAAGGGAGCGUAGACGGAUAAGCAAGUCUGAUGUGAAAAUCCGGGGCCCAACCCCGGAAUUGCAUUGGAAACUGCAUAUC
rnacentral:rRNA from 1 species